UAAACCUUUUUUCUUCUUCUUCUUCUAU
rnacentral:sRNA from 1 species